UACGUAGGGGGCAAGCGUUGUCCGGAUUUAUUGGGCGUAAAGAGCGUGUAGGCGGCUUGGUAGGUCUUGCGUCAAAACCUGGAGGCUCAACCUCAGUUCGCGUGGGAAACCACCUAGCUAGAGUCCGGAAGAGGAGAACGGAAUUCCCAGUGUAGCGGUGAAAUGCGCAGAUAUUGGGAAGAACACCAGUGGCGAAGGCGGUUCUCUGGGACGGUACUGACGCUGAGACGCGAAAGCGUGGGGAGCGAACAGG
rnacentral:rRNA from 1 species